UGAUGUGGAAGCUUUGCUCUUCACAGUAAACCUUGCUAGUGCUCAGUUUGGGUCUGUGCCAUCUUUAACAGCUGUAACAGUCACAGAGAAGGUCUGUGGCUUUAUUCUUGAAGUCAGCGAGACCUUGAACCCACCAGUAGGAACCAACUCCGGACACAGUAUGGCAAUGAUCUCUGGUGAGAACAGCUGCCCAGUAGAAUGUAAGACUUGGCAGAGGAUGUGAUGGACCUGCAUCAUGGCAGGUGUCCUCUUCUAUGGGUCAUCCACUCAACUGUUUGAUCUGCAGGGCCGUAAGGUUAUUCUGGAUCCUGUCUUGCUAUUGUCCUAGGGCUCUGCAAAAAUGUCAGCCAGGUGUUGAAGUUCAGGUGAAAUAAUUCAAAACAACUCGAGAAUGGAACUACCGAUUCACUAAUAAAGAACAGAAAAUAAACAAGGGCAAAACUUGAGAACAUACAUACACAAAAACACAAAGACUCACUUAAUUUUUAUCUCAGAUAAAAAAGGAAAGUAGUUUGCUGAAUUUGCCUUUCUACUAAGAAGUCUUUGCUUUCACUUGGUUGGGAGGGUACCUAACAUGAAGAAGCAGGAAUUCCUGGAAAACAGGCCCCUUCUACCUUAACGUGUUUUCUGUGGGGUCGUUCAGUUAUUGUCCCUAAGCAGAGGUAACUGGGAAAUAGCCUUGGGCUGUAAUUUUCCCAUUUUACCUUAAGCAAUAUCAUAACUAGCAACGUGUGACACCCAGGAGGUUUGUUUUCUAGAUAACACUCUCUUUACAAUAUAAGGGCUCUUUGAGAGAGUUAAUAUAAUAAAUCCUCAGAGUAAACUCUAGGAUACUCUUUAGAAAUUAAAUAUUACUUGAAACAUAUGAAAGCCAUUCAGCAGGUGACAGAGCUAUUUACAAAUAGAUUAAACAUCUUUCAAGUAAAUUAUUAUAACAUUCAUUAAUGUUGUUAGUGUUUAUGCACUAAAACAUAGCCCAAAAUAAGAUAUUUUAUCCUCAUAUUGUAACACAAUUUAUGUUACACUUGAACAAAAAUCCCUCAAUGUGCAGCUGAUUUUAAAUCCAUCAUCAGUUCUACUAGUCAAAAGUGGAGAAUCUUUUUGCAUUUGUACCUCUGGUAGCCAAAGUAAUGUAUCUUCUCUCCAUGUUUCUUUCUCCAUUCAUUAAUAUGCUGUUUUCACAUUGCUUCGUUUUGAAAUUGCCCAUGGCCCAGCUGAACCAAGCAGAAAGAUUUCCCAGGCUGGUUGCAUUGUAUUUCACCUUCUGUUGUCAAUUCCUUUGGUCUCGUAAGAAUAAAAUCCUUUGGUCUCA